UACAGAGGUCCCGAGCGUUGUUCGGAUUCAUUGGGCGUAAAGGGUGCGUAGGCGGUAGAGUAAGUCUGAUGUGAAAUCCCGGGGCUCAACCCCGGAACUGCAUUGGAUACUGCUUUGCUUGAGUACUGGAGAGGGAACUGGAAUUUACGGUGUAGCAGUGAAAUGCGUAGAGAUCGUAAGGAAGGCCAGUGGCGAAGGCGAGUUCCUGGACAGUUACUGACGCUGAGGCACGAAGGCCAGGGGGAGCAAACGGG
rnacentral:rRNA from 1 species